rnacentral:rRNA from 1 species
GCGACGCUGCGGCGUGCCUAAUACAUGCAAGUCGAGCGAAUCUUUGGGAGCUUGCUCCCAUUGGUUAGCGGCGGACGGGUGAGUAACACGUGGGCAACCUGCCUGUAAGACUGGGAUAACUUCGGGAAACCGGAGCUAAUACCGGAUAAUCUUUUUCCUCUCAUGAGGAAAAAUUGAAAGUCGGUUUCGGCUGACACUUACAGAUGGGCCCGCGGCGCAUUAGCUAGUUGGUGAGGUAACGGCUCACCAAGGCGACGAUGCGUAGCCGACCUGAGAGGGUGAUCGGCCACACUGGGACUGAGACACGGCCCAGACUCCUACGGGAGGCAGCAGUAGGGAAUCUUCCACAAUGGACGAAAGUCUGAUGGAGCAACGCCGCGUGAGCGAUGAAGGCCUUCGGGUCGUAAAGCUCUGUUGUUAGGGAAGAACAAGUACCGGAGUAACUGCCGGUACCUUGACGGUACCUAACCAGAAAGCCACGGCUAACUACGUGCCAGCAGCCGCGGUAAUACGUAGGUGGCAAGCGUUGUCCGGAAUUAUUGGGCGUAAAGCGCGCGCAGGCGGUCCUUUAAGUCUGAUGUGAAAGCCCACGGCUCAACCGUGGAGGGUCAUUGGAAACUGGGGGACUUGAGUGCAGAAGAGGAAAGCGGAAUUCCACGUGUAGCGGUGAAAUGCGUAGAGAUGUGGAGGAACACCAGUGGCGAAGGCGGCUUUCUGGUCUGUAACUGACGCUGAGGCGCGAAAGCGUGGGGAGCAAACAGGAUUAGAUACCCUGGUAGUCCACGCCGUAAACGAUGAGUGCUAAGUGUUAGGGGGUUUCCGCCCCUUAGUGCUGCAGCUAACGCAUAAGCACUCCGCCUG